rnacentral:rRNA from 1 species
GGGUAGCCGGCCUGAGAGGGCGACCGGCCACACUGGGACUGAGACACAGCCCAGACUCCUACGGGAGGCAGCAGUGGGGAAUAUUGCGCAAUGGGCGGAAGCCUGACGCAGCGACGCCGCGUGGGGGAUGACGGCCUUCGGGUUGUAAACCUCUUUCGACUUCGACGAAGCCUUCGGGUGACGGUAGGGGUGGAAGAAGCACCGGCCAACUACGUGCCAGCAGCCGCGGUAACACGUAGGGUGCGAGCGUUGUCCGGAAUUACUGGGCGUAAAGAGCUCGUAGGCGGUGUGUCGCGUCGGCCGUGAAAACCUGCAGCUUAACUGUGGGCUUGCGGUCGAUACGGGCAUCACUGGAGUUCGGCAGGGGAGACUGGAAUUCCUGGUGUAGCGGUGAAAUGCGCAGAUAUCAGGAGGAACACCGGUGGCGUAGGCGGGUCUCUGGGCCGAUACUGACGCUGAGGAGCGAAAGCGUGGGGAGCGAACAGGAUUAGAUACCCUGGUAGUCCACGCCGUAAACGUUGGGCGCUAGGUGUGGGGGCCAUUCCACGGUCUCUGUGCCGUAGCUAACGCAUUAAGCGCCCCGCCUGGGGAGUACGGCCGCAAGGCUAAAACUCAAAGGAAUUGACGGGGGCCCGCACAAGCGGCGGAGCAUGUGGAUUAAUUCGAUGCAACGCGAAGAACCUUACCUGGGUUUGACAUGCACCAGACGCGUCUAGAGAUAGGCGUUCCCUUGUGGUUGGUGUGCAGGUGGUGCAUGGCUGUCGUCAGCUCGUGUCGUGAGAUGUUGGGUUAAGUCCCGCAACGAGCGCAACCCUUGUUCCAUGUUGCCAGCGGGUGGUGCCGGGGACUCAUGGGAGACUGCCGGGGUCAACUCGGAGGAAGGUGGGGAUGACGUCAAGUCAUCGUGCCCCUUAUGUCCAGGGCUUCACACAUGCUACAAUGGCCUAUACAGAGGGCUGCGAGACCGUGAGGUGGAGCGAAUCCCUUAAAGUGGGUCUCAGUUCGGAUCGGGGUCUGCAACUCGACCCCGUGAAGUUGGAGUCGCUAGUAAUCGCAGAUCAG